rnacentral:rRNA from 1 species
GACGAACGCUGGCGGCGUGCUUAACACAUGCAAGUCGAACGGAAAGGCCCUGCUUUUGUGGGGUGCUCGAGUGGCGAACGGGUGAGUGACACGUGAGUAACCUGCCCUUGUCUUUGUGAUAACUUCAGGAAACAGGGGCUAAUACCGGAUAGGAGCUCCUGCUGCACGGGGGGGGUUGGUAAGUUUCGGCGGUUGGGGCUGGACUCGCGGCUUAUCAGCUGGUUGGGGGGGUAGUGGCUGACCAAGGCUUUGACGGGUAGCCGGCCUGAGAGCGUGGACGGCCACAUUGGGCCUGAGAUACGGACCAGACUCCUACGGGAGGCAGCAGUGGGGAAUAUUGCACAAUGGGCGGAAGCCUGAUGCAGCAACGCUGGGUGCGGGAUGCCGGCCUUCGGGUUGUAAACCGCUGUCGCCUGUGACGAAGCGUGAGUGACGGUAAUGGGUAAAGAAGCACCGGCUAACUACGUG